UACGUAGGGGGCUAGCGUUGUCCGGAUUUAUUGGGCGUAAAGAGCGUGUAGGCGGCCAGGUAGGUCCGUUGUGAAAACUCGAGGCUCAACCUCGAGACGUCGGCGGAAACCAUCUGGCUAGAGUCCGGAAGAGGAGAGUGGAAUUCCUGGUGUAGCGGUGAAAUGCGCAGAUAUCAGGAGGAACACCGGUGGCGAAGGCGGCGCUCUGGACCGAGACUGACGCUGAGGCGCGAAAGCGUGGGGAGCAAACAGG
rnacentral:rRNA from 1 species